UACGGAGGGUGCGAGCGUUGUCCGGAAUCACUGGGCGUAAAGGGCGCGUAGGCGGCGCGGGUAGUCAACGGUGAAAGCUUGGGGCUCAACCCCGAGUCGGCCGUCGAUACUCCCGCGCUUGAGCACUGUAGAGGCAGGUGGAAUUCCGGGUGUAGCGGUGGAAUGCGUAGAGAUCCGGAAGAACACCGGUGGCGAAGGCGGCCUGCUGG
rnacentral:rRNA from 1 species